GAUUAAGUUAUUAAGGGCGCACGGUGGAUGCCUUGGCACUAGAAGCCGAUGAAGGACGUUACUAACGACGAUAUGCUUUGGGGAGCUGUAAGUAAGCUUUGAUCCAGAGAUUUCCGAAUGGGGAAACCCAGCAUGAGUUAUGUCAUGUUAUCGAUAUGUGAAUACAUAGCAUAUCAGAAGGCACACCGGAGAACUGAAACAUCUUAGUACCCGGAGGAAGAGAAAGAAAAUUCGAUUCCCUUAGUAGCGGCGAGCGAAACGGGAAGAGCCCAAACCAACAAGCUUGCUUGUUGGGGUUGUAGGACACUCUAUACGGAGUUACAAAGGACGACAUUAGACGAAUCAUCUGGAAAGAUGAAUCAAAGAAGGUAAUAAUCCUGUAGUCGAAAAUGUUGUCUCUCUUGAGUGGAUCCUGAGUACGACGGAGCACGUGAAAUUCCGUUGGAAUCUGGGAGGACCAUCUCCUAAGGCUAAAUACUCUCUAGUGACCGAUAGUGAACCAGUACCGUGAGGGAAAGGUGAAAAGCACCCCGGAAGGGGAGUGAAAUAGAACCUGAAACCGUGUGCUUACAAGUAGUCAGAGCCCGUUAAUGGGUGAUGGCGUGCCUUUUGUAGAAUGAACCGGCGAGUUACGAUUUGAUGCAAGGUUAAGCAGUAAAUGUGGAGCCGUAGCGAAAGCGAGUCUGAAUAGGGCGUUUAGUAUUUGGUCGUAGACCCGAAACCAGGUGAUCUACCCUUGGUCAGGUUGAAGUUCAGGUAACACUGAAUGGAGGACCGAACCGACUUACGUUGAAAAGUGAGCGGAUGAACUGAGGGUAGCGGAGAAAUUCCAAUCGAACCUGGAGAUAGCUGGUUCUCUCCGAAAUAGCUUUAGGGCUAGCCUCAAGUGAUGAUUAUUGGAGGUAGAGCACUGUUUGGACGAGGGGCCCCUCUCGGGUUACCGAAUUCAGACAAACUCCGAAUGCCAAUUAAUUUAACUUGGGAGUCAGAACAUGGGUGAUAAGGUCCGUGUUCGAAAGGGAAACAGCCCAGACCACCAGCUAAGGUCCCAAAAUAUAUGUUAAGUGGAAAAGGAUGUGGCGUUGCCCAGACAACUAGGAUGUUGGCUUAGAAGCAGCCAUCAUUUAAAGAGUGCGUAAUAGCUCACUAGUCGAGUGACACUGCGCCGAAAAUGUACCGGGGCUAAACAUAUUACCGAAGCUGUGGAUUGUCCUUUGGACAAUGGUAGGAGAGCGUUCUAAGGGCGUUGAAGCAUGAUCGUAAGGACAUGUGGAGCGCUUAGAAGUGAGAAUGCCGGUGUGAGUAGCGAAAGACGGGUGAGAAUCCCGUCCACCGAUUGACUAAGGUUUCCAGAGGAAGGCUCGUCCGCUCUGGGUUAGUCGGGUCCUAAGCUGAGGCCGACAGGCGUAGGCGAUGGAUAACAGGUUGAUAUUCCUGUACCACCUAUAAUCGUUUUAAUCGAUGGGGGGACGCAGUAGGAUAGGCGAAGCGUGCGAUUGGAUUGCACGUCUAAGCAGUAAGGCUGAGUAUUAGGCAAAUCCGGUACUCAUUAAGGCUGAGCUGUGAUGGGGAGAAGACAUUGUGUCUUCGAGUCGUUGAUUUCACACUGCCGAGAAAAGCCUCUAGAUAGAAAAUAGGUGCCCGUACCGCAAACCGACACAGGUAGUCAAGAUGAGAAUUCUAAGGUGAGCGAGCGAACUCUCGUUAAGGAACUCGGCAAAAUGACCCCGUAACUUCGGGAGAAGGGGUGCUCUUUAGGGUUAACGCCCAGAAGAGCCGCAGUGAAUAGGCCCAAGCGACUGUUUAUCAAAAACACAGGUCUCUGCUAAACCGUAAGGUGAUGUAUAGGGGCUGACGCCUGCCCGGUGCUGGAAGGUUAAGAGGAGUGGUUAGCUUCUGCGAAGCUACGAAUCGAAGCCCCAGUAAACGGCGGCCGUAACUAUAACGGUCCUAAGGUAGCGAAAUUCCUUGUCGGGUAAGUUCCGACCCGCACGAAAGGCGUAACGAUUUGGGCACUGUCUCAACGAGAGACUCGGUGAAAUCAUAGUACCUGUGAAGAUGCAGGUUACCCGCGACAGGACGGAAAGACCCCGUGGAGCUUUACUGUAGCCUGAUAUUGAAAUUCGGCACAGCUUGUACAGGAUAGGUAGGAGCCUUUGAAACGUGAGCGCUAGCUUACGUGGAGGCGCUGGUGGGAUACUACCCUAGCUGUGUUGGCUUUCUAACCCGCACCACUUAUCGUGGUGGGAGACAGUGUCAGGCGGGCAGUUUGACUGGGGCGGUCGCCUCCUAAAAGGUAACGGAGGCGCUCAAAGGUUCCCUCAGAAUGGUUGGAAAUCAUUCAUAGAGUGUAAAGGCAUAAGGGAGCUUGACUGCGAGACCUACAAGUCGAGCAGGGUCGAAAGACGGACUUAGUGAUCCGGUGGUUCCGUAUGGAAGGGCCAUCGCUCAACGGAUAAAAGCUACCCCGGGGAUAACAGGCUUAUCUCCCCCAAGAGUUCACAUCGACGGGGAGGUUUGGCACCUCGAUGUCGGCUCAUCGCAUCCUGGGGCUGUAGUCGGUCCCAAGGGUUGGGCUGUUCGCCCAUUAAAGCGGUACGCGAGCUGGGUUCAGAACGUCGUGAGACAGUUCGGUCCCUAUCCGUCGUGGGCGUAGGAAAUUUGAGAGGAGCUGUCCUUAGUACGAGAGGACCGGGAUGGACAUACCUCUGGUGUACCAGUUGUCGUGCCAACGGCAUAGCUGGGUAGCUAUGUGUGGACGGGAUAAGUGCUGAAAGCAUCUAAGCAUGAAGCCCCCCUCAAGAUGAGAUUUCCCAACUUCGGUUAUAAGAUCCCUCAAAGAUGAUGAGGUUAAUAGGUUCGAGGUGGAAGCAUGGUGACAUGUGGAGCUGACGAAUACUAAUCGAUCGAAGACUUAAUCAA
rnacentral:rRNA from 1 species